rnacentral:rRNA from 1 species
CACGUAGGGUGCAAGCGUUGUCCGGAAUUAUUGGGCGUAAAGGGCUCGUAGGCGGUCUGUUGCGUCGGGAGUGAAAACUUACAGCUUAACUGUGAGCGUGCUUCCGAUACGGGCAGACUUGAGGUAUUCAGGGGAGAACGGAAUUCCUGGUGUAGCGGUGAAAUGCGCAGAUAUCAGGAGGAACACCGGUGGCGAAGGCGGUUCUCUGGGAAUAUCCUGACGCUGAGGAGCGAAAGUGUGGGGAGCGAACAGG